UAAAACCUCUAAGGGAUGGUUAAAUCCAAAGGUGCUCCUGGUGAUUACCUGCAUAGGCACAGUCCUUGGUAAAAGGUAUACGGUAGCAGGUAAUUCAACAAGUAAACCGUAGUUUAAUUAUAUGGAAGAAGAAAAUAGAGGAAGAAGAGUGGGAGGAGGAAGUUGGU